GUGGGCUGUCGCGUAUCGAUCGCGCGAAAGACCAGACGUCACGACGCGCUCGCGAUGCGCACUAAUCUGCGGGCUGCCGGUGAAGCAAACUCAACGCAAGGCAGGACAGGUAUAAACAGCGGAUGGUGGUAAUGGUAGACGCAACUUUCGUUUGUCCCCUCUAACAUCCAGCACCGCAAACUGUUGCUUCGCAAUUAAACAAUCGUGACAAUCUCCGCAAUUUAUUUAUAUUCGCAUUAACUAAGCAAUCAAUUCGGAGAUCUGAAACACGCGCUUUUCAUUUGUUUGCAUAUUAUUACGCCAUAUUUUCAUAAUUCUAUUCAAAUUUUAGAUAAUAUUGUUUUAGUAAGUACUUUAAUUACAAUGUCGUAAUUCCAUGGCGAAUUACAUGUUCUUUUUUUUUGUUUUGAAAAGUUAAUACAAUAAGUAGUGAUAAUAAUGCGUUAUAAGGCCGUCAAGUAAUAUGCAAAUCAUGUUCUAUCUGCAUUAUUUGAAUAUUGAUGUGGUUCAGGCUGCAGAUAAAAUGGACGCUUUUAUGGCAGUGAACGACCAAAAUAACUUGCUAUCAGUUUUUUUUUUAUUGUCGCUUCUGAUGCAAAAACGCGAGUUUAAGCGUUCGUGGGCAAUAUAAAUGUUGAAAUAAAUCGUAUACCUUAAUUGUUGUUACAUUUGAUUGCAUAAAUACAAUGAACUAUAAAAAAUUUAGGAAAAUUUUAAUAUUUUAUCUCGUUCAAUGUUUCAUAUGCGCGUUUAAUGCGUCAAUAACUUAGAUAACCGACAUUACAUUUUACAAUGCAUAUUAUAUAUCAUUGUAAACAAAAUUCAUGACAUUCUAAAUAAAUACCAUAAACUUCAACUAUUUUGAUUUCGAUGAAAUGCUAAUAAGUGCAGAAAAAUUAAAUUAAAUCAUUAUAACUUUUAAAUUAACAAAUAUCUUGCAGAUAA